rnacentral:ncRNA from 1 species
AAGAACGCAGCCAGGUGCGAUAAGUAGUGUGAAUUGCAGAAUUCAGUGAAUCAUCGAAUCUUUGAACGCAAAUGGCGCUCUUGGGUUUUCCCAGGAGCAUGUCUGUCUGAGUGUCGGUUUCCAAAAAGAGAACUCUCUCUUCUUCUAAUCUUCUCAUCCCAGAUGAUUGAUUAGGGACUUAGAUUAAACUCCAUCUAAAGCUAAAUAUUGGCACGAGACCGAUAGCGAACAAGUACCGUGAGGGAAAGAUGAAAAGCACUUUGAAAAGAGAGUUAAAAAGUACGUGAAACCGUUAAAAGGGAAACGAAUGGGGUUAGCAAUGCGUCGUGCGAGAUUCAGCCGGUGGGUGGGCCAGGCGGGCGGUUGGCGGAUCUGAAUGGACCGCUGCCGUUCGGGUUGGUUUCCCGACCGUCGCACUUCUCGCAGGCGCGCGCCAACGUCGGUUAGGGCUGGGUCUCAAAGGCGGUGGAAAGGUAGGUUUGGACUCUCGGGCCCGAACUGUUACAGUCCUCCGUUCGUCAUGGCCCGGACCUGACCGAGGAGCUUGCGGUGCAUGCCCUUUCGGCUAGGGUCCCGUCUUCCCGGUCGGUCGUCGAAUGCGGUGGACUGCGUGCAGUGCGCCGCGACUGCUGCCGGUCGCGAGGGCGGUGAUUUCGUACUAUGCACCCACGACGUUGGCGGUCAUAUGGCCUCAUCCGACCCGUCUUGAAACACGGACCAAGGAGUCUAACAUGUGUGCGAGUCUUUGAGUGAUCGAAACUCCGAGGCGUAAUGAAAGUGAAGGCGACUUCGGUCGCUGAGGUGAGAGCCUUUUUCCACAAAAAAAAGGCGCAUCAUCGACCGACCUAUUCUACUCUUAGAAAGGUUUG